rnacentral:rRNA from 1 species
AUUGAACGCUGGCGGCAGGCCUAACACAUGCAAGUCGAACGAGUGGCGGACGGGUGAGUAAUGUCUGGGAAACUGCCUGAUGGAGGGGGAUAACUACUGGAAACGGUAGCUAAUACCGCAUACCAUCAGAUGUGCCCAGAUGGGAUUGGCUAGGUGGUGGGGUAACGGCUCACAAAGGCGACGAGCCCUAGCUGGUCUGAGAGGAUGACCAGUCACACUGUAAUUGACACACGGUCCAGACUUCUUCGGGAGGCAGCAGUGGGGAAUAUUGCACAAUGGGCGCAAGCCUGAUGCAGCCAUGCCGCGUGUAUGAAGGAGACCUUCGGGUUGUAAAGUACUUUCAGCGGGGAGGCGUUACCCGCAGAAGAAGCACCGGCUAACUCCGUGCCAGCAGCCGCGGUAAUAC